GGAGCGGACGCCUGGGAGGAGCGUGAGGCUGCUGGCGCUUGCCCCGGCUUCGCAGCGCUAGGAGAAACUGAGGGCGUGGCCUAUAGGGCCAGGUGUGCGAGGUGACUGGCGAACCAGCGAGCGAAAGCUGCAUCUAGAGCUGGAGGACGUGACAGUGGGAGGAGAACUGAGUCAACGCGAAUUGUCCAUGUUUGCUCUAACUGACCCGUCUGGAUGGAUUUUACCAGAUAAUCUGAAGCUUUCUUCUUGAUAUUGAAGCAGAAGAGCAUAGUAAAAAGGAAAAGGAAAGAAAUGCCACCACACAGGUAUCAGUGAAUGAACUCAAACAAUUUUUAUCACACAUAUUGGAACGAAGAAAACUGAUUAAAGUGAUCUAUCAAAGAGAAAAUGCCUUAGGAAAAAAGAAGAUUCAACGUAAAUUAAGAAUAAAAGGAAUUCAAAAUAAAGAUCUCU